rnacentral:rRNA from 1 species
GAUGAACGCUGGCGGCGUGCCUAGUACAUGCAAGUCGAGCGAACGGACGAGAAGCUUGCUUCUCUGAUGUUAGCGGCGGACGGGUGAGUAACACGUGGAUAACCUACCUAUAAGACUGGGAUAACUUCGGGAAACCGGAGCUAAUACCGGAUAAUAUUUUGAACCGCAUGGUUCAAAAGUGAAAGACGGUCUUGCUGUCACUUAUAGAUGGAUCCGCGCUGCAUUAGCUAGUUGGUAAGGUAACGGCUUACCAAGGCAACGAUGCAUAGCCGACCUGAGAGGGUGAUCGGCCACACUGGAACUGAGACACGGUCCAGACUCCUACGGGAGGCAGCAGUAGGGAAUCUUCCGCAAUGGGCGAAAGCCUGACGGAGCAACGCCGCGUGAGUGAUGAAGGUCUUCGGAUCGUAAAACUCUGUUAUUAGGGAGAACAUAUGUGUAAGUAACUGUGCACAUCUUGACGGUACCUAAUCAGAAAGCCACGGCUAACUACGUG